rnacentral:tRNA from 1 species
GGCCUAUAGCUCAGCUGGUUAGAGCGCACGCCUGAUAAGUGUUAGGUCGAUGGUUCGAGUCCAUUUAGGGCCACCA